UGCAAGUCGAGCGAACAGACAAGGAGCUUGCUCCUUUGACGUUAGCGGCGGACGGGUGAGUAACACGUGGGUAACCUACCUAUAAGACUGGGAUAACUUCGGGAAACCGGAGCUAAUACCGGAUAAUAUUUCGAACCGCAUGGUUCGAUAGUGAAAGAUGGUUUUGCUAUCACUUAUAGAUGGACCCGCGCCGUAUUAGCUAGUUGGUAAGGUAACGGCUUACCAAGGCGACGAUACGUAGCCGACCUGAGAGGGUGAUCGGCCACACUGGAACUGAGACACGGUCCAGACUCCUACGGGAGGCAGCAGUAGGGAAUCUUCCGCAAUGGGCGAAAGCCUGACGGAGCAACGCCGCGUGAGUGAUGAAGGUCUUCGGAUCGUAAAACUCUGUUAUUAGGGAAGAACAUACGUGUAAGUAACUAUGCACGUCUUGACGGUACCUAAUCAGAAAGCCACGGCUAACUACGUGCCAGCAGCCGCGGUAAUACGUAGGUGGCAAGCGUUAUCCGGAAUUAUUGGGCGUAAAGCGCGCGUAGGCGGUUUUUUAAGUCUGAUGUGAAAGCCCACGGCUCAACCGUGGAGGGUCAUUGGAAACUGGAAAACUUGAGUGCAGAAGAGGAAAGUGGAAUUCCAUGGGUAGCGGUGAAAUGCGCAGAGAUAUGGAGGAACACCAGUGGCGAAGGCGACUUUCUGGUCUGUAACUGACGCUGAUGUGCGAAAGCGUGGGGAUCAAACAGGAUUAGAUACCCUGGUAG
rnacentral:rRNA from 1 species